CCGACGUUCUCCGACUCUUCCUCCUCCUCCUCCUCCUCCUCCUCCUCCUCCUCCUCUUCUCCUACACCGGCUUUCCAGACAUCUCUCUCUCUCUCUCUCUCUCUCUCUCUCUCUUUCUCUCUUUCUCUCUCUCUUUCUCUCUCUCUCGCUCUCUCUCUCUUUCUCUCUCUUUCUCUCUCUUUCUCUCUCUCUCGCUCUCUUUCGCUCUCUUUCGCUCUCUUUCGCUCUGUUUCGCUCUCUCUCUCGCUCGCUCGCUCGCUCGCUCGCUCUCGUUCCCUCCCUCUCUCCGAACCCUAACGCUAAUCCAACCGUGUUACCCGAGUCGAACCCAUGACCACGAAUUCAGGUGGUCCCUUCAUAUCCUCGUCCGCUCCAUUGUGACAUCCAUUAAAAAUAAAUAAAUAGUGUCUUUUGUCUCAUCGCUUUCCUAGUCUCGCCUGCAUCACGUUUAAAUAGAAAACAGAGGAGACGCAAUAAUGAUAACGAUUGCAAUUGGCUGGCAACCAGUUCAGGAUGCACUCCUCUUACUGUACAGAGACCACUGGGAGAGACUCCAGCGCACCCACGACCAUUAUGAGGAUAAGCGAGUCACAAAAUGGAUAGAUAAUAAUGGCAAUAACGAAAUCUGUCAAAUUCUCAGUUCGGAACCGGGGCGAGUGCAGAUAAAGUCAAGUCCAAAUCCGUAAUAGUUGAGCGGCUUGAAGUCAUGACCUUCAAACACGACUGAAGUUGCUUCAGCAUGGCGGAUACAUAUUGUAUAAUGCACAUUUGCAAUGUACAGCCCGGUAGGCAGGCUUUUCUGCGGUGCAAUAGCUCUGCCUGCAGGCAAUUUAUAAAAAUGCGGGCUCGGAGGACCUUUAAAAAUAAACGCGUCAUAUUGAUGAAGUCAUCAAAAAAGGACGCUACUCCAGAAUACAAAACAGAAAAACGUGGAGCGCACGCACGUUUGAGUAUUGUUUUCGUGUCGUUCAUCCAAAAAAACACAAGCUGUACAGAAUGUCAAAGAGCCGCCAAAGGAGCCAGUAAAUGUUGUCAGUGCUACUCUGCUUUUCUCUCAGCUUUGAUGGAUUUCAGUUGUUGUGCACAUGUGAUUGAUAACAUUAUUUUUACCCACUUUAUAUUGUAAAUAACCAUAUAACUGUUAUUAAAUGCCAUUAUUUAAAUUAAAAAUUACUCUGUGUACAAAUCUA